CGUAAGAAAGCUAAACCGGACAACAGCGUCAGCCUUUUGAGCUGAAGACUGGUGGCCUCCAACCACCUCUCACGA
rnacentral:tRNA from 1 species